rnacentral:rRNA from 1 species
UACGUAGGGUGCGAGCGUUAAUCAGAAUUACUGGGCGUAAAGCGUGCGCAGGCGGUUUUGUAAGCCAGAUGUGAAAUCCCCGGGCUUAACCUGGGAAUGGCAUUUGGGACUGCAAGGCUUGAGUGCGGCAGAGGGGGAUGGAAUUCCGCGUGUAGCAGUGAAAUGCGUAGAUAUGCGGAGGAACACCGAUGGCGAAGGCAAUCCCCUGGGCCUGCACUGACGCUCAUGCACGAAAGCGUGGGGAGCAAACAGG